CUGCAUAAUAGCAAUGACUAUCGUUUAUAGAAGUGAUCACAUGCACAGCCUCUGGAGCCAGAGAGAAUUAUACUUCAAUGCUGCUUCCUGGCCGCAAGGCCUUGGGCAAGUCACUUGGUCCUUUCCAGCCUCAUCUCCUCCUCUGUAAAAGGGGUGCACGGUGCCUACUGCAUAGGGCACAGCUUUUUCCUCCCCAUCAAGACACUCCCCAAGCACCCAUUAGGUGCUGGGCACUGGACCAGCCACUAAGCAUGCAGCAAAAUGCAACGCCCUCAAAACAAUUCCACCCUCAAAACAAUCCUAUGAGCGUCUGGGAUCUGAAGGAAACCCCAGCCGAGGGACAGGAAGCUGGAAAGGACAGAAAGACGGGCAAGAGAAGGGACUCGGAAGAGGCCUCCACUUCACAAAUCUGCGGAGUGGGGCUGAGGAGGAGCCUUGGCCCCAGCGGGGGAGACCCACACGUUCCCCCUCUUCUCCUUGGUCUGAAGCCCAAACAACCGAC
rnacentral:lncRNA from 1 species